GUUCCGUUCCCACCGCGCCUCCGGCGGAGCGGGGGCCGGCCGGCGCCGAGCCUGCCUUGCCCCUGCCUUGCCCCUGCCUUGGGCCAUCCGCGUGUUCUUUGUUGGUCUUCCUCUAGGUGCCGUUCGCCCCCCUGCAACGGCGAGCGCAGCCUCCCCGACAGGAAAAAUCAAAUUUCUGUGUGAGAGGGGGUUUUUGUUUGUGUGGGAGCAUUAGCACAGCGGUCGUGCUGUCAGCUAAUUACUUUUGAAGGAAGAUUCCUGAAAAACUGCUGUAGAAUUUUUUUUUUUGUUUUAAUUCCUGUGGUGCAAAUGGCGAUGGAGCUCUAAUGCAGCAUUAGCUCAGUGACACGAGUGUGUACCUGCUGCAAAAGCGAGGAGGAAGGCUCUCUUUGUGUGUCAUUGCUGUGGGAUGUAACUGGAAAUCUAUUGUUUCAAUGAUGAGUCAUGCAGGAGAUAGUAGAUGUUAUGAAGCAAGACAGCCUGGAGACAUGCAGGGGCAAAAGACUUCCAGAAUAAGAAUCAAAAAUGGGAAUUUAUGGGCUGCUAUAGCCCUCUUUUCCUAAGCUGGUGUUAACAUCAUGGCUGAGGCUGGGAGUUUUACCAGUAUCCCAGAACAGCACUGCUUUAAGCUCUGUGGUUCAUAGAUGGUGAAUGUGCUCUGGAUAUGGAAGAGGUUAACUAUUUGAGACAUGGUGUUAAACAGUGUUGGUUAUUACACUUUCUACCACUGGAAGAGAUAGUAAUUAUUACCCAGCCACCCCACACUAAGAGACUGUUUUGUAAACUGAUGCAACAAGUGAGGAUCUAGAAUACGCGGGAAGAAGUGCUGACUGCAAGGCAAAGAGUGGCAAAAGUGAUCAAACAGUGCACCAUUUGAUCGUCUUCGAAGGCAGAAAUUGUUUUUAAGUGGGUCUUGGGCAAGGCAAUGCAGCAAAAAAUGAUCAGGGAGGGCAAAAUGAUCCGGGAGAGCUUUCUGUGUAUAAGGAGAAGCAUGCAAGAAUGCGUAGAGAUGCUGUCUUCAUACUGGAAUCCGCCCCAGACAGAAGUGAUGCCUUUACGAUUCUUCAUGAGGGGAAUAGGCACUUGGUAACCCUAUUGGAUGAAAGUUUGUGUUCGUUUUCAAAAUGCCAUUGCUUUCAGCCAGCCAAGAAAUCCACAGCGGUGAAUCUUUCUGAGGUCUUUGUUGCAGGAUUUGCAGGAAUAGUUCAGGAAGGCCAUGGCCAGUUUGAGUUCUCUCCAACUUGUUCUGCGUACCUGGAUAGCUUAGUGGCUGCUUCCCAGCUGGACAGACAUGGUAAAGGACUGUCUUUGCGUGUGAUUCAUGACUGA
rnacentral:lncRNA from 1 species